AAGACUUCCAACAUCUUUUCAUCUCCUCGUUACCACAGCUUUGGAAUGUAGCCAAGAUGCAUAAUCAAGUCUCAAGAUUGAAUCCCCUUGCUGAGGAGUUCCUGAGAUUGUGUGAAUCAAGACCUAGGAGGCUAUGUGAAGCUGUAGCCAACAAAAGCGCUGCCUUUCUACUUUAGAAAAGGGAAAACACUUCCCACAGAUGACGGCCAUGGAGGAGAAGGAGGGGUCUUCCCAAAUCCAGCGAGGAUUCCUGACAAAGCUUUAUGAUGUCACUAGCCUCUUCCUCAUUGGACAAGCAGAGAAGAGCAGGCAUGGCUUGGCCACAGCAACUAUCUGAUAUUUGGGGUGUAUUAUUUUCUGCUGCCAGACCUAUAAUGGAAAAGUUCUAUUUUUCACCCAUUCUUUACCUCAAGCUUUUUUUUU